rnacentral:rRNA from 1 species
UAUCAGCUUUAGACGGUAGGGUAUUGGCCUACCGUGGCUAUGACGGGUAACGGGGAAUUAGGGUUCGAUUCCGGAGAGGGAGCCUGAGAAACGGCUACCACAUCUAAGGAAGGCAGCAGGCGCGCAAAUUACCCAAUCCUAAUACAGGGAGGUAGUGACAAGAAAUAACAAUACAGGACCUUACGGUUUUGUAAUUGGAAUGAGUUAAGUAUAAACCCCUUAACAAGUAUCAAUUGGAGGGCAAGUCUGGUGCCAGCAGCCGCGGUAAUUCCAGCUCCAAUAGCGUAUAUUAAAGUUGUUGCAGUUAAAAAGCUCGUAGUUAAUUUUCUGUUAAUUUUUAUAUACAAUACUACGGUAUUUAUAUAAUAUUAACAUAAUUCAUAUUACUUUUUAGUAUAUGAAACUUUACUUUGAGAAAAUUAGAGUGCUUAAAGCAGGCUAUUGCCUUGAAUACUCCAGCAUGGAAUAAUAUUAAGGAUUUUUAUUCUUCUUAUUGGUUCUAGAAUAAAAAUAAUGAUUAAUAGGGACAGUUGGGGGCAUU